GGGGAAGAGGAAAUUAUUUUCCCAGUGCCUCUGAAAUCCUGGAUUUCCACUGACUGCCCCCUAUGCCUGGAACUCUCCCUCCUGUCAAGGCCUGAAAUAAAUCAAACCCAUGAGUUGAGGAAUAAAGCAUCUUUAAUUGAGAUAACAGGAUAGCAAAUCUGCCAUCCUGGGAGAUGUCCAGUGGAUUUUCCCAAUCAAAGAGAUCCAUGAAAAAGUUUUUAUAAUUUCAGGAGGAGAGGGAGAGGAGAUGGUAUAAGGAAGUAAGGCCUCGUCAUGAGACCCCAGUGGCCCUUAGCAACUGAGCUCCAGAUAAAAUAAUAAGCAAUGAUGGGACUGGACUUGAGGAGACGUAGCUGCUGUUGGUAACAAGAAAGGGCCUUGGUUCAGACUUGAUCUGUCACUUAUAAAAGGACAGUGCUCCUGUUGAAUUUCAAAUCUGGAAUGAAGAAUCCGUGUCAACCAGCUCUAUUGAUUACAAUGCGCCAAGCUGGAAGGAUGAAAAUGACUUAUGCCCUUGGCUCUAAGAUGGCUGUAUAGAAGACAAAUUCCCAAUGAGACA